AGUAUACCGGAAGGUGUACUUGGAAA
rnacentral:rRNA from 1 species